AUACGGAGGAUCCGAGCGUUAUCCGGAUUUAUUGGGUUUAAAGGGUGCGCAGGCGGCCAUUUAAGUCAGCGGUUAAAUCGUGGGGCUCAACCCCAUUCUGCCGUUGAUACUGGGUGGCUUGAUUGCGGUCGAGGUUGGCGGAAUUCGUUGUGGAGCGGGUAAAUGCAUAGAUAUGACGAAGAACACCGAUUGCGUAGGCAGCUGACCAGACCGCAAAUGAGGCUCAUGCACGAAAGUGCGGGGAUCGAACAGGAUUAGAUACCCUGGUAGUCCGCACAGUAAACGAUGAAUACUUGUUUUCGGCGAUAUAAUGUCGGAGGCAAAGCGAAAGCGAUAAGUAUUCCACCUGGGGAGUACGCCGGCAACGGUGAAACUCAAAGGAAUUGACGGGG
rnacentral:rRNA from 1 species